rnacentral:lncRNA from 1 species
GCUGGAGUGCAAUGGCAUGAUCUUGGCUCACUGCAGCCUCCACCUCCUGGGUUCAAGCGGUUCUCGUGCCUCAGUCUCCCAAGUAGCUGGGAUUACAGGCUGGAGUGCGAUGGCAUGAUCUUGGCUCACGGCAAACUCCGCCUCCCUGGUUCAAGUGAUUCUCCUGCCUCAGCCUCCCGAGUAGCCGGGAUUACAGGCAUGUGCCACCAUGCCCCGUUGGCCAGGCUGGUCUCGAACACCUUACCUCAGGUGAUCCUCCCACCUUUGGGAUUACAGGCUGAGGAAUUACCAAGGAGGCAGGAGGUGGAGCAAAACACACCAAGCCUGGUGCCAAUCAUUGACAAUAUUAUGACCCUGCAUGUGAUGGAUCAGCUGACACCAUCCAGAUCGGUAAACUGGUUCAUCUGAUCUUGUGCCCUCCACCCAGGAACUGACUCAGCGCAAGAAGACAGCUUCGACUCCUUGUGAUUUCAUCCCUAACCAAUCAGCACUCCUGGCUCACUGGCUUCCCCCAACCCACCAAAUUGUCCUUAAAAACUCUGCUCUCCAAACGCUG